rnacentral:rRNA from 1 species
ACAACUUUCAACAACGGAUCUCUUGGCUCUCGCAUCGAUGAAGAACGCAGCGAAAUGCGAUAAGUAAUGUGAAUUGCAGAAUUCAGUGAAUCAUCGAAUCUUUGAACGCACCUUGCGCUCCUUGGUAUUCCAUGGAGCAUGCCUGUUUGAGUGUCAUUAUUA